GGCGCGAAAACUUUACAAUGCUGGCAACAGCGAUAAGGGAACCUCGAGUGCCAGGUUACAAAUCUGGCUGUCGAGAUGCCUAAAAAGCAUUUCAUAGCAAGGGCCGGGCAAGACCGGUGCCGGCCGCCGCGGUAACACCGGCGGCUCGAGUGGUAACCGUUAUUAUUGGGUCUAAAGGGUCUGUAGCCGGCCGGAUAAGUCGCUUGAGAAAUCUGGCAGCUUAACUGUCAGGCUUUCAGGAGAUACUGUCUGGCUCGAGGCCGGGAGAGGUGAGAGGUACUUCAGGGGUAGCGGUGAAAUCUUGUAAUACUUGAAGGACCACCAGUGGCGAAGGCGGCUCACCAGAACGGACCUGACGGCAAGGGACGAAAGCUAGGGGCACGAACCGGAUUAGAUACCCUAGUAGUCC
rnacentral:rRNA from 1 species